rnacentral:tRNA from 1 species
GGAGGUGUGCCAGAGCGGUCGAAUGGGGCGGUCUCGAAAACCGUUGAAUCGUUUUUCGAUUCCGGGGGUUCGAAUCCCUCCACCUCCG